UCAACCUAGCCCCAUACUAAUUAAAGCCUGUACUAUAGGUACUAGGCGACAAUAUACAUCCUUAUACAUAUAGAUAAAUACAUACUUACAUACAUAGAGAACACCCAUGACUCAGGAACAAAUAUCUGUAUUCAUCAUACAAAUAAAUGCCCAUAUCAGGACCGCCGCUUUGCAGGCACUACCAUCUGUGCCAGACCGGUUGUCAAGUUUUUGAUAAGAUUUCUUGAACGCUAAACAAAUGAGAAUAUAGUGCACAUACACUAGGGGAGCUGGAGUAUUCCAACAAUAAUAUUAUCUUACCUUUAUUAAUCAGUUUUACUACUUUAUUUUUCAGGUGUAUUCAUAUCACCAUCUUCCAUAAACAUAGAACACAAUUACUGCCUGCCAAAUAUUGGAAUAAAAGAAAAUUUGUUACAACAAAAUAAUGAAGAUAUAAGUGAGCGUCUUCAUCCAGCCGAAGUUCCUUCUUCAUCUAAAACCGCUUCAGACACUGGUCAUAAAUCAUCGCAGUUCCUGCACAAGGAAAGUAAAUCUGCACAAAAGGAAAUCAGAAGUUUAAAGAACAAGUUGAGGAAGUCAGUGAAACAGGCACGACAUUAUAAAGCAAGACUCGCCACGGUUUCUAACCUGUUACAUGGAUCUGACGAUAUGGCAAGAUUUACAAAAAAUAUGAGCCGAUCAGGCCGCAUUUUUACGGGCAUGCAAUACCGCCAAGCAUCAAAAAAACCAAAAGGAAGAAGAUACAACAUGGAGGAAAAAGUAUUGGCGCUAUCCAUUUUCAAGAAAAGCCCUAAAUGCUAUAAUUUAUUGUAUAAAUAUUUUAAAUUACCAUCAGCAAAAUCAUUGAAAAACUUGUUG